UGUCUCAAGACUAAGCCAUGCAUGUCUAAGUAUAAACGCUUCUAUACUGUGAAACUGCGAAUGGCUCAUUAAAUCAGUUAUAGUUUAUUUGAUGGUUCCUUGCUACUUGGAUAACCGUAGUAAUUCUAGAGCUAAUACAUGCAGAAAGUCCCGACCUCUGGAAGGGAUGUAUUUAUUAGAUCCAAAACCGGCGCAGGUCCUCCGGGGCCUGGUUGCUUGGUGAUUCAUGAUAACUGCUCGAACCGUAUGGCCUCUCGCGCCGACGGUGCUUCAUUCAAAUUUCUGCCCUAUCAACUUUCGAUGGUACGGUAGUGGCCUACCAUGGUUGCAACGGGUGACGGAGAAUUAGGGUUCGGUUCCGGAGAGGGAGCCUGAGAAACGGCUACCACAUCCAAGGAAGGCAGCAGGCGCGCAAAUUACCCAAUCCCGACUCGGGGAGGUAGUGACAAUAAAUAACAAUGCCGGGCUAUCGUAGUCUGGCAAUUGGAAUGAGUACAAUCUAAAUCCCUUAACGAGGAACAAUUGGAGGGCAAGUCUGGUGCCAGCAGCCGCGGUAAUUCCAGCUCCAAUAGCGUAUAUUAAAGUUGUUGCAGUUAAAAAGCUCGUAGUUGGAUUUCGGGGCGGCCUGGUUGGUCCGUCGCAAGGCGAGUACUGGUCAGCCGCCCUUCCUCUCGAAAGCCCCGACUGCUCUUCACUGCAGUGGUCGGGUAGUUCGGGACGUUUACUUUGAAAAAAUUAGAGUGUUCAAGGCAGGCUUACGCCUGAAUACAUUAGCAUGGAAUAAUGGAAGAGGACCUCGGUCCUAUUUUGUUGGUUUCUGGGGCCGAAGUAAUGAUUAAGAGGGACAGUUGGGGGCAUUCGUAUUUAAUUGUCAGAGGUGAAAUUCUCGGAUUUAUGAAAGACGAACAACUGCGAAAGCAUUUGCCAAGGAUGUUUUCAUUAAUCAAGAACGAAAGUUAGGGGU
rnacentral:rRNA from 1 species